rnacentral:lncRNA from 1 species
CAUAAGGAGGAAACGAAUCUGCACCAUUCAUCUCAAUUGAUCUCGACCAUCCGAUUGUGCCUAAUAGAGAAACGAAUUCGGGUCGUCCACGCGCGCGGGAUCGAUCCUGAGCUGUCUGAUUGCAAGGCACACGGAUCGCCAAUGUGGCCUCCCACGUGGCACCAACGUCAGUGCGUCUUGCCAUGCAGUGUGAUUCGGUUCGUUGAGGCUACUGACUGGACGGUCCUACGUGGCUGAACUUUC